CAUUGAUGAUGUAAAAAUGGUUUUAGAACCAUUAGAUCAAUUCUUGAUGGGAGGUAUACAUAAUCAGUGGUAUUGAUGCAAAGUCAAAACGAGCUUAGCAUAAGUGCGCUACGCUCGAUCGGGUAAGCAUAACUAUUGGGUAUGAAGUCAUAUGGACCUAAGGUUUGGUGUGAGUGUUUUACACAUAAGGAUAAUAGGCCUAGCAGAUGAUUAAGUCGAAAUUAUUGAAGUGAUAAGGUUUUCAUAAGUCAAAAGGUGAAAUGAUGAGAUAAAAGGUGUCAAAUUUUGAUACAAUAAGGCUAAAUCAUUGAAAAUAAGGAAUUUUCAUCAACCUUAUCACUUUGCACGACCAUUACUCUGAAAAACAGAGAGAAAAGAAAACCAAAAACCAUUUCUUGGCUGGUUUGAAGAAAUUCUAAGGAGAUCCAAGUGAAAGCAAAGCCAAAGAAGUAGAUUAAGCUUAGUUCUAGCCUUUUUAUGGUAAGUUCUUGUACUUGGAAGUUAAACCAUGUUUUUGAAUUUUUCUGAAAGCUUAUAUAUGGUGUUUUAUCUUUUUUAAGAUAUUUCUUGGGGUUUCCAAGUGGUUUGAGGUUUAGAAAAGUUUGAAGAGAUUGUUUUUGCCGAAAAGUUGCUCGGAUAAGCACAUCAAUACCUAAGACACCACUUGCUACAUGGUGAAUUAUAUUUUGGACAGAAGGUAGAGAAAGAAAUGUGUGAAUGACAUGAGGAGAACUGAGGCCUGGUCCUGACCCUGAUUUGUACAUAUGAACACAUUGAUUUUUUGUGGGUUAUUUCAGUUAUCAGUGAGAUGUUUGUAAUAAAGUGUGAAGUUAUGUUUUGAAAAUAAAUUGGGUUAUUUAAUACUUA